UACGUAGGGAGCAAGCGUUGUUCGGAUUUACUGGGCGUAAAGAGCGCGUAGGCGGUCUUGUAAGUGUGAAGUGAAAUCUCCAGGGCUCAACCCGGAAACUGCUUUGCAUACUGCGAGACUAGAGGGAUGCAGAGGUUUGUGGAAUUCCUGGUGUAGCGGUGAAAUGCGUUGAUAUCAGGAGGAACACCCAUGGCGAAGGCAGCAAACUGGGCAUCAUCUGACGCUGAGGCGCGAAAGCGUGGGUAGCAAACAGG
rnacentral:rRNA from 1 species